rnacentral:lncRNA from 1 species
GCGUGAUUCAUCGAAUGAAUAGUCUUAAUAAUAAUUGGCAGCAAGAAGGUGUGGAGGUAGGUCUUCGUCAUCAUUAUAGUAGCUUUCAAUAUCUAUUGAUGCCUGACAAUAGUCAGCACCAGCCAUGGCUAGAGCUUGCAGUGAGGCUGGCACUGCUCUAACUAUAAUGUGCUCUAUGGCUCUAUGUGUAACUAUAGACUGUUGUCUCUUCUCAUAU